rnacentral:rRNA from 1 species
UACAGAGGUCUCAAGCGUUGUUCGGAUUCAUUGGGCGUAAAGGGUGCGUAGGCGGCGCGGUAAGUCGGGUGUGAAAUCUCGGAGCUUAACUCCGAAACUGCAUUCGAUACUGCCGUGCUUGAGGACUGGAGAGGAGACUGGAAUUUACGGUGUAGCGGUGAAAUGCGUAGAUAUCGUAAGGAAGACCAGUGGCGAAGGCGGGUCUCUGGACAGUUCCUGACGCUGGAGGCACGGAAGGUCAGGGGGAGCAAAACGGGG